ensembl:lincRNA
UAAUAAAACUUGUCUCUGGAGAAAGUAAGUCUUGGUUCAAGUCUCAACUCUGUCUGUUGUGAUUAGCUGUGGACAAAUGGCUUUACCUCUGGGAGCCUCUGUUUUCCCAAAUGUAAAAUGGGAAUAAUAACAGUUAUUGCCUCUCACUUGCAGGGUGGUUCUGAGACCGUGGUGGCAAGAGGUACACAGAGCCUUCGGCCCCAUGCCUGGGACAUUGUAGAUGUUCAAUAAGUAUUAGCAGUUGUUGGGAUUAUUAUUGUGGCAUCUCAAGUCAGGCUUUCUGAGGGUAGAAAAGGACAUCCCCUUGACGGGGAGCCAGGGAUCCCAUCACCCCAGGGUGGUAUUCAAAAUACAUAGUGGACUGGUGUCAUGGCUCAUGUCUGUAAUCCCAGCACUUUGGGAGGCUGAGGUAGGUGGAUCACCUGAGGUCAGGAGUUCAAGACCAGCCUGGCCAACAUGGUGAAACCCCAUCUCUAACUAAAAAUACAAAAAAUUAGCUGGGUGUGGUGGCGGGCACCUGUAAUCCCAGCUACUCGGGAGGCUGAGGCAGGAGAAUGGUUUGAACCCGGGAGGUAGAGGUUGCAGUGAGCUAAGAACAUGUCACUACACUCCAGCCUGGGCGACAGAGUGAGACUCUGUCUCAAAAACAAAAACAAAAACAAAAAGAAAUAGCAAUCAGUAGCAAACAGGCCCCCUACCAAUCCACAUGCGUCCAGCUGGAGCCUAGGAGGAGGGCCCGGAAGACCUUCCCGUGCUGGAAUUGGAAUAUCGGAAGUGGCUGGGGCACUCAGGCAGCCCAGGAGUGCGGAAGGAUGUCAGUCUGUGUGUGGCCGUACAGAGCAUGCAGAUGAAUUCCUGCCCUGCUCAACCAUGACUCGCCACAGAAGGAAGAACUCCUCCCGUGCCUGAAGGUGACGUUGGCGCCCUCGUAGAUGGCGGCAUAUGUCUGCACGGCCAGGCAGAGGAUGUGGUCGUUGCCUCCAGCAAGACGCAAGUCAUCGACACAGCUGGAAACAUAUGAGUCUGGGUUGAUCUCCCAGUGGCAGUGGCUGAAGCGUUCCUGGGGGUCCUGUAGGAGCCAGCACUGCCUCCUGGCUGACACAAUCUGCCCCUGGUCAUUGCAGACUGAGACUGGACAGGCAGCCCCACAGUUGUCCCCACAAGCCUUGCUCUGCUUCUCCAAGGUGGACCUGGGUGCCAUUAACCUGGACAGAUACCUCCAUGAUAAGCGUGAGGGGGCUGCUGGAUCUGUUCUCCUUUCCCAGCUGUACCCUGAGGAACGGCAGUGAGUUGGAGGAGCCACAGGAUUCGGCAAAGACAGACACACAGAGCCCAGCUCAUGGCAAACCUCAAUGCACAUUUGUUGGAGGAAUUAAUGAAUAUAUCGAAGCCUUCUUUAUAGCACAUAUUUGUUCAACUUUAGCAUCCACUAUAUGCCAGGAUCAUCCCAGGGCCUGGAGACACAGCAAUGACCAAGACAGAGAUCCCUGACCUCGUGAAACAGAUGUUCUAGUGAGACAUUGACAGGCUACAUCCCGGGGCCCAAAUCUGGCCCUCCACCUGUUUUGGCACAGCCUACAGUCCAAGAAUAGUCCUUACAUGUUUAAGUGGUUAGAAAAAAAGAAACCAAAAGAAGAAAUUUUGUGAGGUGUGAAAAUCAUGUAAAAUUCAAAUUCCAAUGUCUAUAAAUAAUGUCCUAAUGGAAGCCAGCUUGUCGGUUCAUGUAUCGUCUGUGACUGUUCUUGUGUUACAACAGAAGCUUUGUGUAGUUGUGACAGAGUGUGGCCCUGAGAGCCUAAAAUAUUUAUUAUCUGGCCUUUUAUCAUAAAAGUAUGCUGACCUGUUCUAGAGUGGGGAAAUGGGCAACAAACUAGCAAUAAAUAAAAGAUAAUUUCAGAUUGAGAAACUGGGUCAGAUCUGUGUUACCCAGCUUUAGGUAGCACAGAGUGGCCAAGCCCCAUGGGCUGAUUUGAGGACAGUGGCUAGGGAGGCCUUUCUGCAGAGGUGACACUGGAGCCGAGGCCUGAAUGAUGGAAGGAGCCAGCCAUGUGUACGCCUGGGAAAGAGCAUUCCAGGCCGGGGGGACAGCAGAUGCAAAGGCCCAGGGGUGGGAAGGCAUCUGGCCUGGUUCAGGGACAGCAGAGAGGCCAGUGCGGCUGGACCCUCAGUGUGGAGUGAGCUAGACAAAGACAGUGUAGGAGGAGGCAGGGUGAGCAGGGAGAGGCAGCCGUGGGGGCCUCUUAGGAGGAGGCCUGGAGGUCAUCUUUCAUUCCAGAGGCAGGGGGGACCCAGGGAUGCUUUUAAUCAGGAAUCUGAUGAGAUCUGACCUAUGCUUUUGUAUUUUUUUGAGAUGGAGUCCUGCUCUAUCACCCAGGCUGGAGUGCAGUGGCAACAUCUCGGCUGACUGCAGCCUCCACCUCCUGGGUUCAAGUGGUCCUCCCACCUCAGCCUCCCAAGUAGCUGGGAUUACAGGCGUGCACUUGUUGUGGGAAGUCAGGGACCCCAAAUGGAGGGACCGGCCGAAGUCGUGGCAGAAGAACAUAAAUUGUGACGAUUUCACGGACAUUUAUUAGUUCCCCAAAUUAAUACUUUUAUAAUUUCAUACACCUGUUUUUACUGCAAUCUCUGAACAUAAAUUGUGAAGAUUUCAUGGACACUUAUCACUUCCCCAAUCAAUACCCUUGUGAUUUCCUGUGCCAGUCUUUAGUUUAAUCUCUUAAUCCCGUCAUUUUCUUAAGCUGAGGAGGAUGUAUGUCGCCUCAGGACCCUGUGAUGAUUGCAUUAACUGCACAAAUUGUUUGUAGAGCAUGUGUGCUUGAACAAUAUGAAAUCUGGGCACAUUGAAAAAGGAACAGGAUAACAGCAAUGUUCAGGGAACAAGGGAGAGGGCCUUGGUCUCUGACUGCCAGUAAGCCGGACAGAACAGAGCCAUAUUUCUCUUCUUUCGAAAGCAAAUAGGAGAAAUAUCACUGAAUUCUUUUUCUCAGCAACGAGCAUCCCUGAGAAAGAGAAUGCACCCUGAGGGUAGGCCUAUGAACAGCCCCUGUGGGGGCGGCCGCCUUUUAGGUCGAAGCCAAAGGGAUGAAAUAAGCCCCGGUCUUCUGUAGCGCUCCCAGGCUUAUUAGGAUGAGGAAAUUCCUGCCUAAUAAAUUUUGGUCAGACGGGUUGUCUGCUCUCAAACCCUGCCUCCUGAUAAGAUGUUAUCAAUGACAAUGUGUGCCCAAAACUUCAUUAGCAAUUUUAGUUUCGCCCCAUCCUGUGGUCCUGUGAUCUAGGUGUUCCUCCAUUUGCUUUGUGAUAUUUUAUUGCCUUGUGAAGGAUGUGAUCUCUGUGACCCACACCCUAUUCGUGCACUCCCUCCCCUUUUGAAAAUCACUAAUAAAAACUUGCUGGUUUUACGGCUCAGGGAGCAUCACGGAACCUGCUGACAUGUGAUGUCUCCCCCGGACACCCAGCUUUAAAAUUUCUCUCUCUUGUACUCUUUCGCUUUAUUUCUCAGACCAGCUGAUACUUAGGGAAAUAGAA